rnacentral:rRNA from 1 species
GAGUUUGAUCUUGGCUCAGAUUGAACGCUGGCGGCAGGCCUAACACAUGCAAGUCGAGCGGAUGACGGGAGCUUGCUCCUUGAUUCAGCGGCGGACGGGUGAGUAAUGCCUAGGAAUCUGCCUGGUAGUGGGGGACAACGUUUCGAAAGGAACGCUAAUACCGCAUACGUCCUACGGGAGAAAGCAGGGGACCUUCGGGCCUUGCGCUAUCAGAUGAGCCUAGGUCGGAUUAGCUAGUUGGUGGGGUAAUGGCUCACCAAAGGCGACGAUCCGUAACUGGUCUGAGAGGAUGAUCAGUCACACUGGAACUGAGACACGGUCCAGACUCCUACGGGAGGCAGCAGCGGGGAAUAUUGGACAAUGGGCGAAAAGCCUGAUCCAGCCAUGCCGCGUGUGUGAAGAAAGGUCUUCGGAUUGUAAAAGCACUUUAAGUUGGGAGGAAGGGCAGUAAGUUAAUACCUUGCUGUUUUUGACGUUACCGACAGAAUAAAGCAACCGGCUAAACUCUGUGCCAGCAGCC